CCUACGGGAGGCAGCAGUGGGGAAUAUUGGUCAAUGGAGGAAACUCUGAACCAGCAACGCCGCGUGAAUGAUGAAGGUCUUCGGAUUGUAAAGUUCUUUUCUAAGGGAAGAAGAAAGUGACGGUACCUUAGGAAUAAGCCUCGGCUAACUACGUGCCAGCAGCCGCGGUAAUACGUAGGAGGCGAGCGUUAUCCGGAAUGACUGGGCGUAAAGGGUGCGGAGGUGGUUUGACAAGUGGGUCGCGUAACUCCGAGGCUCAACCUCGGCACUACUACCAAAACUGUCGGACUUGCGUGCAGGGUGUGCAAUUGGAAUUCCUAGUGUAGCGGUGGAAUGCGCCGAUAUUAGGAGGAACACCGUUGGCGAUGGCGACUUGCUGGACUGUACCUGACACUGCGGCACG
rnacentral:rRNA from 1 species